rnacentral:misc_RNA from 1 species
CCCAACUAUCCCUAUUAAUCAUUACGACUGUCCCGGAAACCAACAAAAUAGAACCGUCGUCCUAUUUCAUUAUUCCAUGCUAAUGUAUUCAAGCGUACGAGCCCGCUUUGAGCACUCUAAUUUUUUCAAGGUAAAGGUCCUGGUUCCCGCGGACACCAAGUGAAUGGCAUCCACGCUCGCCAGAAGGUGAGACCCGCGACGACGCAGUGCUCGCCCAGAGGACGGACCACCCGCACGGGCCUAAGGUUCAACUACGAGCUUUUUAACUGCAACAACUUUAAUAUACGCUAUUGGAGCUGGAAUUACCGCGGCUGCUGGCACCAGACUUGCCCUCCAA